CACGUAGGGCGCAAGCGUUGUCCGGAAUUAUUGGGCGUAAAGAGCUCGUAGGCGGUCUGUUGCGUCCGCUGUGAAAGCUCGGGGCUUAACCCCGAGCCUGCAGUGGAUACGGGCAGACUAGAGGUAGGUAGGGGAGAAUGGAAUUCCCGGUGUAGCGGUGAAAUGCGCAGAUAUCGGGAGGAGCACCGGUGGCGAAGGCGGUUCUCUGGGCCUUACCUGACGCUGAGGAGCGAAAGCGUGGGGAGCAAACAGG
rnacentral:rRNA from 1 species